rnacentral:rRNA from 1 species
UUGUUCAAAAUUUUUAAUGUGUAGAGUAGAGUAUAUAAAUCUUGAAAAACUAAAUUGUAUGGCUGUAUAAUAUACGAACAGAGAAAUAUGCUGCUAAUCGAAAUUGCACGAUAAAUCUUACCUAGUUUUGUAAAAGGUCAUUUUAUACACAGCCGUCGGAAGGGUAAAUUUUCGGAUUUGCUCUCUACCUAUAUAUAUAAAAGGUGUAAGUCAGGUCAAUGCAUAGACUAUAAUUAGGCAACAGUGUAUUUCAUUAAUAAGAUAAUUUUGUCUAAAUGUAAGAUUAAAAUCUAUUUAGUAAAUGAAUUUGUAAGUAAGAUAUACUUAAUAUUUAUAUCUGAAUUGUGCUAUGAUGGUAGGU